GGGAUUCAUAGUACAACAGGAGUCUUCUGUAACAUCCAAUACGUGUUAAAUAUGUUUUACAUACAUCCAUGACUGAAUGGUUUCACAAACUCCCUUUAAAGGUUUUGUAAGAAAGUUGUAACAGGCCUCAUUCACCAGUCCAGAGAUGAACCUAGAGACACCAAAAACAUCAACGUUUAGAGCAGCUUGGAGAUUAUUACCCAUAUAAGGGGGGAGCAAAGAGCUGAUUUACCCCUACGGUCAAAUGCAUCUAUAGUUUUUAAUGAAGUGGUCGCUGCAUUCAUUUAGAUUAUUUCAACAUAGUCUAGAACCAGUAAGAACAUAGAUUGAAUGAUUGGCUUUGUGCUAUUGAGCAAGAGGCCUGACCCAUUUCUAUGUAAGAAGCCACACUUUUUAUAUUCAGCUUCUGAAUUAACUCAUAAAUAUGUUUUUAAGUCAGCUUAACGUAUAUACUAGUACAACAUACUAGGUACAUACACUUCAAUCAUUAGAAUAAUUUGCAUAAUGUAGUUCAGAUAGAGCACGAUCAGCAGGGCGGGCGAUAGAGUACACAACUGUAUCAACGGCUUGAAUUUCUGACAAAAUAAUAUUAUCAAUGUAUACAAUAUUUUUGUUUAUUAGACCUACCAACAUAGAACACAAUAGUGUAUAUCAGGGGUAACGCCCGUUUUCAUGGUUAAUUGAUAGGUGUUCCAUUCUGUGGACUGAGAAUCCAAAAUGCUUUGCACAACAUAUACAUUUCAUCGUCAUGUCUUUCAUUAUGCAGACAUUUUGUUUUAUUAGACUAUAUUUCUCAUUAGGAAUACGGUUGUCACCCCCCUUGGAGGCUUGGUGCAUGUACAAAGAAAAAGUACCAAAUUCAACCAUGGGUGGCUGUUAACUAAAAUAAUGGCAAUGCGUGUAGUCGUGUUAAGGUUUUCAUUGUUUUCUUGUCAGAGUUUUAUGGUUUUGCAUAUGACUGUGCAUUAUAUGCUGUCGUAAUAGGGUUGAGGAUCAGAUCAAGCUGUCACGAUCGUCAUGGGUAAUAAGAAGCGGACCAAAGCGUUACGUGGUGUGAAUGCAUCGUUUUAAUGGAUGACGAAAACACAAAGUAAACUGAACAAGCCAAUAAAUGAACAACGACCGUGACGCUAUAUAUCAAAUGUGCUGACACAAGCACCUAACAUAGACAAUCACCCAACAAUGACAACACAGGCUACCUAAAUAUGGUUCCCCAUCAGAGACAAUGACUAACACCGGCCUCUGAUGGGGAAAAUCAUCUCAGGCCCAACACAGAAAAAGACAAACUAGACAUACAGCAUCGAAUGCCCACUCAGAUCACACCCAUACCAAACAAAACCUAAAAACAUACAUAGCAAACUAUGGUCCGGGCGUGACACAAACCUAUUGGGAAUUCUUGAUCAAUCAAAAUGUACCUGUUUUCCGUAUAGAAUGACUUGUAUACAGAUUAUAUUACAACUUUGUGUUUUGGCUUAGUGGUUGUUUCUUUACUAACUAGGAAAACUCAACAGUGUGUAAGUCUGAGAAACAUUGAGCUGGUUGGUUUGUUGUUGAAAGCUUGAAAUGUACACACAUUGAGAAGUGAUAUUGCAGCAACAGUUUUAAAGUGGGUAAUCGUAUUAUAUAUAUAUAUAUAUAUAUAUAUAUAUAUAUAUAUAUAUAUCCUUGCAUGUUUGAAUUAGAGCUCCUUUAAAGUGUUUUAGAUUAUGAUAAUAAUGUUAUAUUAUUUUUAUAAUAAUACAUAUCUGCAAACCCAAUGUAUUUCUGAAAACCCCUUUUUGCAUCUUCAAUAGUUGUAGAUGUUCCAACGUUCGUAGACCUUUCAUACAAAAAGACAUAAUACUGUCUGUUUCAUCGGUUCCUCCGAUGUCGUUCAGAGUCCCUAAUGCAUCCAAGUCACCCGUUGUGUCAGUGUUUCAUCGGUUCUUCCGAUGUCGUUCAGAGUCCCUAACGCAUCCAAGUCACCCUAUGUGUCCGAUGUCCAUCAUACCUAAUAAAAUAAAAUAAAUAUAUAAAUCGUUGUCCCCCCUGUUUAAAACACAAAUAACUCGUGUUUAAUAUUACAAUAAUAUCACAAUAAUAUUCAAACAAAACUUUAAAUAUAUUUUUCACUUACUCAGCUCCCGAAAUAUCCAUUAGGAGGGCUUCACAGACAUGUUAUCUGUCCUGGGACUGCUGCCUGUUGUCUUACGAAGUGGUUCAGAGUGCACACUUUUCUUUUUUUAAUAUAUAAAUAUUCUUGGGUAUGUGAUUAUUUGGAUUUACGCCUAAAAAAUGUGUGAUCGUGAAGGGCUACGUAAAGGACAGGGCGCAGUUUGCUUCUGAGAAUCUACGUCUAACAGUCGCUUCCCAAUCACUUAUGUCCAGUAGCCUUCAGAAAUAUCCAUUAGGAGGGAUUCACUUAUUCACAUCUCUUUUUUAAUCUGUCCUGGCAGCGAAAUAUUCGGGCCUGUGUGUUUGCGCUAAAGCUGUGGUAACAUAGUGUUAAAGUAUAUGCUCCACGUUCUGUCCCUAACUAUCGAAAGUACGGAAUGAGUUUCGGGAGAUAUCCUGUAUGCAACACUUUGUACGUUUGGUUUAGAGACCAAAAGGCGGUGAAUUCAAAGAGCCAUUCUGUCUACAACCGGUUUGGUGGGGUCCCGGUGCGUUGAUUAGAUAUCAGUGUUUAACCCCGGGCGGUCGGCCGAUAUCUGGACAUGCCUUAUGCCGGAUAGUGCAAACCUUGGUUUCAAACGAUUCUCUACAGAUAGAGCGCUGGGCCCCCUGUUGAACCCACACCCUUUGUUUUUGAAACGCACACACACACACUCCUGCUGCUCCGUCACACGCACACUCAUGCACGCACCCUGAUUUUCCAUGUCUUUUUCUUCGUGACUGUAACGGUUCUCUUUUGGUGAAGGAGAGUCGGACCAAAAUGCGGCGUGUAGAUUGCGAUCCAUGUUUAAUCAACAAACGUAAAACACGAAUCAAUACAAAAACUACAACAAAAAAAAGAACAACAACAAACGUGGAAACGUAACGAAAACCGAAACAGCCCUAUCUGGUGAAACCACAGCGACAGGAACAACGACACUAAGGACAAUCACCCACGACAAACUCAAAGAAUAUGGCUGCCUAAAUAUGGUUCCCAAUCAGAGACAACGAUAAACACCUGCCUCUGAGAACCACUCCAGACAGCCAUAGACUUUGCUAGAUAACCCCACUAGCUACAAUCCCAAUACAUACACACCAAAACCCCAAGACAAAAACACACCACAAUACAAAAACCCCAUGCCACACCCUGGCCUGACCCAAUACAUGAAGAAAAACACAAAAUACUUAGACCAGGGCGUGACAGUGACAGACCGGGGUGAUGUCUGGAAAGGACAUUUUCCUAUAGUUAAAGGGUGAGAUACAUUUUUAAAACCAGUGAUUUAAUUCCAAAAUAUUUAGUACAAACGUUUUAAAGACGUGUUAGAAUUAAUGACCAAAUUGUACUACUAUUUAAACAUGCAUCAUUAGUGUUUUAUGUAAAAACAUUGGAGGCCUACAGUACAUUAUUACAAACUUUAUAACAUACCAUUGUAGGAAAUACUAUAAAUUGUUUCUGAGAAUCUACGUCUAACAGUCGCUUCCCAAUCACCUAUGUCCAGUAGCCUUCAGAAAUAUCUAUUAGGAGGGAUUCACUUAUUCACAUCUCUUUUUUAAUCUGUCCUGGCCGCUAAAUAUUCGGGGCUGUGGGUUUGCGCUAAAGCUGUGGUAACGUAGUGUUAAAGUAUAUGCUCCACGUUCUGUCCCCGUUCUGUCCCUAACUAGGGGGUGUUUCAAUAAAAAAAAGUUUUUUUUUUAUAAUGGUUACAUGUUCAGUACACACCCCUGCAUUCUAUAUUAUUAAGUAGGCUGUUGGUCUUUGAGGUCUGUUAUGUCAAUUUGCCUUUAUACAUCUCAUUGACCUACUGUCAACUCCCUCAGUUGUAAACAUCUACAAUAAUCAUUAGACGUACGCGUCAGAGUUAUCAUACCCCGUGUCGGGGUUUGUACAGAGUUGGUUAAAUCAGCUCUUUUGCUCCCCACUUACAUGGCUAAUAAUCUCCAAGCUGCUCUAAAUGGUGAUGUUUUUGGUGUCUCUAGGUUCAUCUCUAGACUUUUGAAUGAGGCCUGUUACAACUUUCUGACAAAACCUUUAAAUGUAGUUUGUGAAACCAUUCAGUCGUGGAUGUAUGUAAAACAUAUUUAACACGUAUUGCAGGUUACAGAAGCCUCCUGUUGUACUAUGAAUCCCCACUCAACCCUGUUAGAUCUUGAUGUGUUGGCUGAAAUAUGAAAUUACCUCUUCCCCUAUCGUUAAAGCGUGAGAUACAUUUUUAAAACCAGUGAUUUAAUUCAAAAUAUUUAGUACCUACAUUUUAACACGUUAUAAUUCCAAAAUGUUUACUAUUGCUUACAGAUAGAGGGUCCGGUUAGCCCUGACCAUUAUCCGUUUCGAAUUCAUCAACUCAAAGACGCUUGCCCGCUCCAUCAAAACUCCGUAAGUUUUCCGCCAUGUGUAGAUCAAUCGUUCCUGCCUGUAAAUUCUGGGUAUGCCCACAUCAUUAAUUAAUAAGAUGUGUAGAAAACUGUUUAGCCAUAGUUAAAGGCCUUUCAUAAAGAGGCUGUCAUGAUUGCAUGUGCCACAUGUUUAACACGUAUUGCUUGUUACAGAAUACUACUGUUGUACAUUUAAUAUCCCCUUGCAGAUUUCGUGGCAUUUGCACAAAUUCUGUCAUGUUACUGUGGUCUUUUUAAAAGUCAAUAAAUAUGUGUGUAAAGUGUACAUGUCUGUUUCACUGUAGAUUUGUUUAAACCCUCCUAGAAACACCUAAUUUCAUCCCACAGCAUUAAUUAAUAAGCUGUGUAGAAGCUGUUCAGCCAUAAGUAAAGGCCUUUCUGUUACGGUUUUCUUCCGUUGAUGGAGAGUGGACCAAAAUGCAGCGUGGUUAGUUCGAUACAUAUUUAAUGAAGAUGACAUACGAUAAUACAAAACAACAAACAGACCGUGAAAACUUAUACAGCCUAUCUGGUGAACAACAAAACACUGAGCCAGGAACAAUCACCCACAAACACACAGUGAAACCCGGGCUACCUAAAUAUGGUUCCCAAUCAGAGACAACGAUAAUCACCUGACUCUGAUUGAGAACCGCCUCAGGCAGCCAUAGACUUUCCUAGACAACCCUACUCAGCCACAAUCCCAAUACCUACUAAAACCCCAAUACAAAAACACACCACAAAAUAAACCCAUGUCACACCCUGGCCUGACCAAAUAAAUAAAGAAAACACAAAAUACUAAGACCAAGGCGUGACACUUUCAUAAAGUGGCUGUCAUGAUAAACCUGAAAUUACCUUUAGGAUCUUUUCUUUGGGGUUCUAAUCUCCCCAGCUGUACAUGCACUGAAAAUCCUUAGGCUGGAGCCAUCUGGAAGCUCUUUGCCUGUACAUAUAAAGAGAACUAGAUAGGAAACUAGGCUGAGAAAUAUUAUUUAAAUGGCUGUUUAAUUGUUGUUUAAAGCCUGAAAUGGACACAAUGCCAAGGGACCUUGUUUCUAACACACACACACACACACACACACACACACACACACACACACACACAUUCCUGCUUCAUAGAUAGCAACCAUAAGGGCAAUAAAACUGGGGGUGGGGGACAUACACGUUCAAACACUCAAACCCCCCCAGUUCAACCAGGCCCCUAGACAUCAAUCACCAUGACUACUUCAAAGGAUGCCAUUUAGAUAUAAAAUAACACACACCCUCUAACACGUGACCACAGGAACAGGAGGGACGGGGCGGAGCCCCAUAUUUAGACAUGCACACGUCAUCAUGACGCAGGGUCAUCAAUCAAUCACUUUGACGCAUGCCGUCUACUUUAAUCUCUCUAUUAUAUAAAGUGGCAUUGUGUAAAGUGGCUAGUGAUACAUUUUUUACAUCAAUUUUAGAGAUGAGUCAGUAUGUUGGCAGCAGCCACUCAAUAUUAGUGAUGGCUGUUUAACAGUCUGAUGGCCUUGAGAUAGAAGCUGUUUUUCAGUCUCUCGGUCCCCGCUUUGAUGCACCUGUACUGACCUCGCCUUCUGGAUGAUAGCGGGGUGAACAGGCAGUGGCUCGGGUGGUUGUUGUCCCUGAAGAUCUUUUUGGCAUUCCUGUGACAUCAAGUGGUGUAGGUGUCCUGGAGGGCAGGUAGUUUGCCCCCGGUGAAGCGUUGUGCAGACCUAACUACCCUCUGGAGAGCCUUACGGUUGUGGGCAGAGCAGUUGCCGUACCAGGCAGUGAUACAGCCCGACAGGAUGCUCUCGAUUGUGCAUCUGUAGAGGUUUGGUGUUUUUGGUGACAAGCCAAAUUUCUUCAGCCUCCUUAGGGUGAAUAGGUGUUGCUGCGCCUUCUUCACCACGCUGUCUGUGUGGGUGGACCAUUUCAGUUUGUCCGUGAUGUGUACGCUGAGGUACUUAAAACUUUCCACCUUCUCCACUACUGUUCCAUCGAUGUGGAUAGGGGGCUGCUCCCUCUGCUGUUUCCUGAAGUCCACGAUCAUACCUCCCAUUGGAUAAUGAAUAUAUCACAGUGGAAAAGGAGGUGGAGCUUGCUUUUAAGUCAAUCUCUCUUUAAUGGUCUUUGUUGUGUAUGUGACAAAGUCCUGAAGUUCUUCCCUUUAGUUUUUCAGUCAAUCUGACCACACUGCAUAUUUAGACUCUUUUCCCUCUUAGUAAAAAAACUAUGUCUCUUAUGUAACACACAUUUAUGUGACAAUAGGAUGAAUCCCAAAAUACUGUUAAAUAUCCACAUUUCCUUUUCUUACUUCCUCAUCCCUACCAAUUUAAAAAUGAGGCCAUUAACCAGCAACUUAAAAUAAUUCCGAUUCACCUUGAACUCUACAUGUGCUCUAAAGAAAUGAAAUGAAUGUAUACAGUAAAGUACACAUGAUCUCUGCAUAGCGCUCCCCUCUUCUCUUCCUAUCCAAUUGGUGGUGUCACAGAUCAUAAUGUACGUGCUGAUCGUGGUGCUGCAGCUGUGGAUGUUUGUGGUGCUGAUCCACUGCUACAACAAGAUCUGGGCUGAACACGAGGCGUGGGACGCCCGCAAAACCUUGAGGGCCCAAGAACUGGCCCUAAUAAACGAACCUUUAGACUCAAAGGACAAUUGUGAUGGAGUGCUUCUGGAGUGACUUGUUAUGGUAAACAUCAAAGGUGGAGAACUCUGUCACAAGCAGGUGUUACCACUACACUAGUAGGCUAUUACAUCAUAGAAACAUCAUUUGAAUGUCUUAGCAUAGUGUGUAACACAUGCGGUUUACAAUGUACUUGAUUUACUGUACGAGGUAGUUGCAGCUGGCGUGAGUGGUGAUUAGAUUGACAGGUGGUGCCGAACAGCCUUAGUGUGUCAACUCAACAGAGAAUGUCAUCACGUGAUGGAUCAACAGUUCUGACAAAGCUCUGAUUACAGAUGGUUCCACCUAAGCUACAUAGAACGCUUUGGCAGGAACAACCAUGCAUCUACAUAGAUAGAUCUCAUCUACGACCAUGUUGUUAAAGUUUAUUUUAAUCGCUUUGGUGCUAUUUUCACAACUCUUAAUCCAAAACUCCAAGCUGGUCACACAUGUAAUGC
ensembl:lncRNA